GUGAAAAUUUUGAGUAAAUUUAGGGUUUUCACUAUUAAUUCACAAAUUCAUCAUGGUUUGAAGGUUUUGAUCCAUACCAUCUGAAAAGAGUUGAAAGGAGAAGAAAUUGACUACAUAAGGUAAUUGACACUAAGUACGUAAAUUUGAGGUUUCACAUCGGUGGUAUACUUGUGAGUGAGAUAGGACCUGUUUAUAUUGGGGGGGAAAAAGAAUAUGCCUUCAAUGUUGAUAUAGACCAUUUGUCUAUUCCGGAAGUGAAUGACUAUUGCAGGGAUUUUGGGGUUACCAAUAUAGAAAAAAUAUAUAUU